UACGUAGGCAGCAAGCGUUGUUCGGAAUUACUGGGCGUAAAGAGUGUGUAGGCGGUGCUCUAAGUUCGGUGUGAAAUCUCCCGGUUCAACUGGGAGGGUGCGCCGGAAACUGGGGUGCUGGAGCGCGGGAGAGGAAAGCGGAAUUCCUGGUGUAGCGGUGAAAUGCGUAGAUAUCAGGAGGAACACCGGCGGUGUAGACGGCUUUCUGGACCGUAGCUGACGCUGAGACACGAAAGACGUGGGUAGCAAACAGG
rnacentral:rRNA from 1 species